rnacentral:rRNA from 1 species
GUAGGUGGCAAGCGUUGUCCGGAAUUAUUGGGCGUAAAGCGCGCGCAGGUGGUUCUUUAAGUCUGAUGUGAAAGCCCCCGGCUCAACCGGGGUGGGUCAUUGGAAACUGGGGAACUUGAGUGCAGGAGAGGAAAGUGGAAUUCCACGUGUAGCGGUGAAAUGCGUAGAUAUGUGGAGGAACACCAGUGGCGAAGGCGACUUUCUGGCCUGUAACUGACACUGAGGCGCGAAAGCGUGGGGAGCAAACAGGGAUUAGAUACCCUGGUAGUCCACGCCGUAAACGAUGAGUGCUAAGUGUUGGGGGGGGUUUCCGCCCCCUCAGUGCUGCAGCUAACGCAUUAAGCACUCCGCCUGGGAGUACGGUCGCAAGACUG